UGGGGAAUAUUGCACAAUGGGCGCAAGCCUGAUGCAGCCAUGCCGCGUGUGUGAAGAAGGCCUUCGGGUUGUAAAGCACUUUCAGCGGGGAGGAAGGCGUUAAGGUUAAUAACCUUGGCGAUUGACGUUACCCGCAGAAGAAGCACCGGCUAACUCCGUGCCAGCAGCCGCGGUAAUACGGAGGGUGCAAGCGUUAAUCGGAAUUACUGGGCGUAAAGCGCACGCAGGCGGUCUGUCAAGUCGGAUGUGAAAUCCCCGGGCUCAACCUGGGAAUUGCAUCUGAUACUGGUCAGCUAGAGUCUUGUAGAGGGGGGUAGAAUUCCAUGUGUAGCGGUGAAAUGCGUAGAGAUGUGGAGGAAUACCGGUGGCGAAGGCGGCCCCCUGGACAAAGACUGACGCUCAGGUGCGAAAGCGUGGGGAGCAAACAGG
rnacentral:rRNA from 1 species